AGCAGCCGCGGUAAUUCCAGCUCCAAUAGCGUAUAUUAAAGUUGCUGCAGUUAAAAAGCUCGUAGUUGAAUUUCGGGACCAAUAUGUCGGUCGUGCCUCGGUACGUACUGGCAUCGUUGGUUUCUCCUUUCUGAAGAACCAUGAUGUCAUUUAUUUGGUGUCGUGGGGAAUCAGGACUGUUACUUUGAAAAAAUUAGAGUGUUUAAAGCAGGCUCACGCUUGAAUACAUUAGCAUGGAAUAAUGAAAUAGGACGUUUGAUUCUAUUUUGUUGGUUUCUAGGAUCGACGUAAUGAUUAAUAGGGAUAGUUGGGGGCAUUAGUAUUCAAUUGUCAGAGGUGAAAUUCUUGGAUUUAUUGAAGACUAACUACUGCGAAAGCAUUUGCCAAGGAUGUUUUCAUUAAUCAAGAACGAAAGUUAGGGGAUCGAAGACGAUCAGAUACCGUCGUAGUCCUAACCAUAAACUAUGCCGACUAGGGAUCGGAUGAUGUUAAUUUUUUAAUGACUCAUUCGGCGCCUUAC
rnacentral:misc_RNA from 1 species